ensembl:snoRNA SNORD22 Small nucleolar RNA SNORD22
UCCCAGUAAAGAAAUAUGUACAUGUCUUACUCCCUGCUCUUGCUCCACAGCCUAGAGAGGUGAAGCGACUGGGGCUAGCUAGGGAAAGAGGUGGUUCCGGAGGAGCGAGGGGU